GGAUUUGCAUGUUCAAUGCAGUGGAAACUUCCCUGAGCAAAUUUUAUCAAGAGAGAAGCACAAAAAUAUGAGAAUGUUCAGUUCGCUAAGAACAAAGUUAGGAAAAACAGAGAAGUUACAGGCUGAGGAAGAUCUCCCUUGGCUCAAAGCUUUGCCAUCUUGGACAAGGGGUGAUGCAGCUCUUGCGUAAUGUGGACUCUCUAUCCUAAGGUACAGUGGUCACUCAUCAGCAACUUCAGCCCACCUUCCUGCCUCCUUGUUUGCUGGGAAUUACCAGCUACUCCAGCAUUCUGGUGGGCCUCUUUUCCUGGUGGAGAUGUCUAAGAGAGAGGUCAGUGGUACAAACUAUAAUCCUCACAACUGAAGACUCAGGCCUGCGAGUGGAGGAAGAUCUAAGAAGAACUUACCUUUGGAUGAACUAUUUUCAACUAUGGCCUCUUAGGAGACUGUGGUCUCCGCCUGCUCUAAUCCCAGUAAGGGGAACACCUGUCCCCCAGGUGUUGCUAACUGCUCAUUGUCUUUUCCACAGGACCAGGCUGCAGCCAGGGCCCAGGUAAGAACACAUUUUUUUUUUCUUUUAGCUUCUUAACUUACCCAUCCUGCCUCCCUCAGUCUCUUUGUACUAACAGUACCCCCUCAUUCCAU
rnacentral:lncRNA from 1 species